AGCGUCCUGAGGGGAGGAGCCUAGAACCCGCGCAGGAGCGGCGAGGUUCCCCGGCCUUGUGAGAGCGCGCCCGACGUAGGUGGGGUCCAGCAGAGUGUUCUACCCACUAACUCUGCAGUUCCAAAGAGGCAUUUUUAGAGGGGUGAUUUGGGGUCUGCUUUUUUUCUUACAAGGAAAUGCUGUCGGGAAAAGUUAGCAUUGUGGUUUGAAUCUACUUCGUUUUAAUUUUUCCAAGCGCGGAAUAUCCCACCCUAGGGAGUAGGCAGGUCCACCUCCUCUAGCGUUACGGGUAUAACCCGUCUUAUUUACUACAAGCUCUCUAAUUGAGAUCCCUAGAUACGAUCCUGCCGGCCAGAGGGUGGGGUCCAAGAGCGAUACGUGGGGAGCGUGAUAGUUGCAUGGAGUAAUGAUGGAUUUGUUACUGGAGCUGAGCCACUGUUGGGCCUCCGGUUACUUUCUCCCUACAAAUACGCAUUUUUGCCCACACUUAAUGCAAGAGAAAUUCUUACAUACUGCCCAAGAUGUGCGUCAGCCAAAUGGUAGAUAUAUAUUGAGCAGAUUCCGUUGCAAGGCUAAGAGCUGGUAACUUAAUUCUAAUCCUCGACUGCCCAAUGUCCAGUGAUGAAAAUAGAAAGGUGCUUUUUAAAAGACCAAGAUGGUCUUUCUUAACGCAUCAUGGACCAUCAAAGUGAUAAUACUGACUUUCUAUGGGAUUGGGAGGCACAUUUACUUUUCCCACUGCCAUGACAGGAAGGAAGGCGGUCUGAUCCGUUUGCAGCCUCAAUUGUUGCUCAAGAUGGUCGCAGAAAAGACAAGUGGGACCAAUGGCAUGGCCUCAGGCUGGAAUGGGGCUCUAGAUUACUACGGAAAGCAACCAGGAAAAGAUCUGGAGUUGUGUAAAACCAAAUGCCAUAGAUUGUGUAUUCUUUAACACCCUAGAAGUUCAGGGAAAACGCUGCAUAAUGAAAUAGGGUAAUAUAUUUUGCAGUAAACCAUAUGAUUAUUCAUGCGUGGUAAAUAAAUACCAGUAAAUAGCCUCCUUCAGUUCAGAUCAGCUACUACUGUCAAGUAAGUUUAGAUUAGAGUAAUUUAACUGUCAAUAAGUUACUAAAAGUACAAAACAAAAAUGUUUGGUUUCCAGAGCUUUUGAGAUUUAAGAAUUGCACAUAAGGGAUUUGUGGAUCCUUGUGAGGACAUGACUUUUGGCACUGUCCAAUAAUUAUUAGCUUUUUUUGUUGUUUAAAAAUAUUUAUUUAGGGCUUCCCUGCUGGUGCAGUGGUUAAGAACCUGCCUGCCAACGCAGGGGACACGGGUUUGAGCCCUGGUCCGGGAAGAUCCCACAUGCCGCGGAGCAACUAAGCCCGUUCGCCACAACUACUGAGCCUGCGCUCUAGAGCUUGCAAGCCACAACUACUGAAGCCUGUGCUCUGCAACAAGAGAAGCCACCGCAAUGAGAAGCCCGCACACCGCAACCAAGAGUAGCCCCCGCUCGCCGCAACUAGAGAAAGCCCGGGCGUAGCAACGAAGGCACAACACAGCCAAACAUAAAAAUAAAUAAAUUUAUUUUAAAAAAUUUAUUUAGCUGCAUUGGGUCUUAGUUGCGGCACGUGGGAUCUUUUAGUUGUGGCAUGUGAACUCUUCGUUGCGGCAUCUAGUUCCCUGACCAGGGAUCGAACCCUGGCCCUCUACAUUGGGAGCACAGAGUCUUAGCCACUGGACCACCAGGGAAGUCCCUAGCUUUUACGUGUUUUAAACAUGUUAAUUUCCUAGGUAUAAAAAUAUAUCUCAAAGUACUAACUUUUUAUUUUGUUGCUCACUAGGAGAGAUAUGCUAUUUUCCUUAUGGAUUAUGGAAAGAUACAAGUAAAUAAACUACCUGAAUUUAUUCUCUUCCUAGCUUUCUGAUAGUGAAUUUACAUUUGCCUUAAAAAUUAAAGUUUGGGGCUUCCCUGGUGGCGCAGUGGUUGAGAGUCCGCCUGCCGAUGCAGGGGACACGGGUUCGUGCCCCGGUCCGGGAAGAUCCCACAUGCCGCCGAGCGGCUGGGCCCGUGAGCCAUGGCCACUGAGCCUGCGCGUCCGGAGCCUGUGCUCCGUAACGGGAGAGGCCACAACAGUGAGAGGCCCGCGUACCGCAAAAAAAAAAAAAAAAAAAAAAAAAAUUAAAGUUUGGUGUCAUGUAUUAUUCUAGGUGCUGAGGAUAAUUCAAAGAUGAAAAAGACAACUUAGUUCCUCUCUUCCAGAAGCUCACAAUCUAACAAUGGAUGAAAACACAGAGUCCCAAUUUGGUGCUUUUUUUCACUAUACCAUACCACCUCUCUUGGACCUUUUAAGGAAACCUCUCUGGGUCAACUGAUUCCCUGCCACACACCAUGUGGGGAGAGACUACUGUGAUCAUCUUCCUCACGGACCACAUGGAGUAUGCAAUGGAUGUUUUUUUCAAGAAAGGGUUACUAGCAGACAGGAACAAUGUGCUAACCACCAGCUGUUAAGGGCCUAUGAAAUACAUCAUGCAACUUCCUUCGGCCUGCAUGGCUUCAGGUGAGAAAUCUACUGUCGUUCAAAUUGUGUUUCCUUAUAGAAUAGAGGACCUUCAAGAUGGUGGAGGAGUAAGACGUGGAGAUCACCUUCCUCCCCACAAAUACAUCAAAAAUACAUCUACAUGUGGAGCAACUCCUACAGAACACCUACUGAACGCUGGCAGAAGACCUCAGACUUCCCAAAAGGCAAGAAACUCCCCAUGUACCUGGGUAGGGCAAAAGAAAAAAGAGAAAACAGAGACAAAAGAAUAGGGAUGGGACCUGCACCUCUGGGAGGGAGCUGUGAAGGAGGAAAGGUGUCUACACACUAGGAAGCCCCUUCACGGGCGGAGACAGUGGAUGGGCGGGGGGGGGAAGCUUCGGAGCCACGGAGGAGAGCGCAGCAACAGGGGUGUGGAGGGCAAAGCAGAGAGAUUCCUGCACAGAGGAUCAGUGCCAACCAGCACUCACCAGCCCGAGAAGCUUGUCUGCUCACCCGCCGGGGCGGGCGGGGCUGGGAGCUGAGGCUCGGGCUUCGGUUGGAGCGCAGGGAGAGGACUGGGGUUGGCAGCGUGAACACAGCCUGAAGGGAGUUAGUGCACCACAGCGAGCCAGGAGGGAGUCCAGGAGUCCAGGAAAAGGUCUGGAGCUGCCAAAGAGGCAAGAGACCUUUUCUUCCCUCUUUGUUUCCUGGUGCGCGAGGAGAGGGGAUUAAGAUCGCUGCUUAAGGGAGCUCCAGAGACGGGCGCGAGCCGCGGCUAAAAGUGCGGACCCCAGAGACGGGCCUGGGAUGCUAAGGCUGCUGCUGCCGCCACCAAGAAGCCUGUGUGCAAGCACAGCUCACUAUCCACACCUCCCCUCCUGAGAGCCUGUGCAGCCCACCACUGCCAGGGUCCCGUGAUCCAGGGACAACUUCCCCGGGAGAACACACGGCGCACCUCAGGCUGGUGCAACGUCCCGCCGGCCUCUGCCGCCGCAGGCUUACCCCGCAUCUGUACCCCUCCCUUCCCCCCCGCCUGAAUGAGCCAGAGCCCCCGCAUUAGCUGCGCCUUUAACCCCAUCCUGUCUGAGCGAAGAAAGACGCCCGCAGGCGACCUACAUGCAGGGGCAGGACCAAAUCCACAGCUGAACCCCGGGAGCUGUGAGAACAAAAAAGAGAAAGGGAAAUCUCUCCCAGCAGCCUUAGGAGCAGCGGAUUAAAUCUCCACAAUCAACUUGAUGUACCCAGCAUCUGUGGAAUACCUGAAUAGACAACGAAUCAUCCCAAAUUGGGGAGGUGGACUUUGGGAGCAAUGAUAUAUAUAUAUUUUUCCUUUUUCUCUCUUUGUGAGUGUGUAUGUGUAUGCUUCUGUGUGUGAUUUUGUCUGUAUAGCUUUGCUUUUAUCAUUUGUCCUAGGGUUCUGUUGGCCUGUUUUUUGUUUUGUUUUGUUUUGUUUUAGUAUAGUUUUCAGCCCUUGUUAUCAUUGGUGGAUUGCUCUCUUCUUUCUUUUUUUAUUACUUUUUAAUUUUUAAUAAUUAUUUUUUAUUUUUAACUUUAUUUUAUUUUAUUCUUUCUUUUUUCUUUCUUUCUUCCUUCCUUCCUUCCUUCCUCCCUCCCUCCCUCCCUCUUUCUUUUUUUCUUUCUUUUCUCACUUUUCUUCUGAGCUGUGUGGCUGACAGGGUCUUGGUGCUCUGGCUGGGUGUCAAGCCUGUGCUUCUGAGACAGAAGAGCCGAGUUCAGGAUAUUGGUCCACCAGAGACCUCCCAGCCCCACGUAAUAUUAAACGGCAAACGCUUUCCCAGAGAUCUCCAUCUCAAUGCUAAGACCCAGCUCCACUCAAGGACCAGCAAGCUACAGUGCAGGACACACCAUGCCAAACAACUAGCAAGACAGGAGCAUAACCCCACCCAUUAGCACAGAGGUUACCUAAAAUAAUAGUAAGGUCACAGACACCCCAAAACACACCACCGGAUGCGGUCCUGCCCACCAGAAACACAAUAUCCAGCCUCAUCCAUCAGAACACAGGCACCAGUCCCCUCCACCAGGAAGCCUACACAACCCACUGAACCAACCUUAGCCACUGGGGGAAGACACCAAAAACAACGGGAACUACGAACCUGCAGCCUGCAAAAAGGAGACCCCAAACACAGUAAGUUAAGCAAAAUGAUAAGACAGAGAAAUACACAGCAGAUGAAGGAGCAAGGUAAAAACCCACCAGACCAAACACAUGAAAAGGAAAUAGGUAGUCUACCUGAAAAAGAAUUCAGAGUAAUGAUAGUAAAGAUGAUCCAAAAUCUUGGAAAUAGAAUGGAGAAAAUACAAGAAACGUUUAACAAGGACCUAGAAGAACUAAAGAGCAAACAAACAAUGAUGAACGACACAAUAAAUGAAAUUAAAAAUUCUCUAGAAGGAAUCAGUAGCAGAGUAACUGAGAUAGAAGAACGGAUAAGGGACCUGAAAGAUAAAAUAGUGGAAAUAACUACCACAGAGCAGAAUAAAGGAAAAAGAAUGAAAAGAUUUGAGGACAGUCUCAGAGACCUCUGGGACAACAUUAAAUGCACCAACAUUUGAAAUAUAGGGGUUCCAGAAGAAGAAGAGAAAUAGAAAGGGACUGAGAAAAUAUUUGAAGAGAUUAUAGUUGAAAACUUCCCUAAUAUGGGAAAGGAAAUAGUCAAUCAAGUCAGGGAAGUGCAGAGAGUCCCAUAUAGGAUAAAUCCAAGGAGAAACAUGCCCAGACAAAUAUGAAUCAAACUAUAAAAAAUUAAAUACAAAAAAAAAAAUUAAAAGCAGCAAGGGAAAAGCAACAAAUAACAUACAAGGGAAUCCCCAUAAGGUUAACAACUGAUCUUUCAGCAGAAACUCUGCAAGCCAGAAGGAAGUGGCAGGACAUAUUUAAAGUGAUGAAAGGGAAAAACCUACAACCAAGAUUACUCUACCCAGCAAGGAUCUCUUUCAGAUUUGAUGGAGAAAUUAAAACCUUUACAGACAAGCAAAAGCUGAGAGAGUUCAACACCACCAAACCAGCUUUAAAACAAAUGCUAAAGGAACUUCUCUAAGCAGGAAACACAAGAGAAGGAAAAGACCUACAAUAACAAACCCAAAACAAUUAAGAAAAUGGUACUAGGAACAUACAUAUCGAUAAUUACCGUAGAUGUAAAUGGAUUAAAUGCUCCCACCAAAAGACACAGAUUGGCUGAAUGGAUACAAAAACAAGACCCAUAUAUAUGCUGUCUACACGAGUAGACACUUCAGACCUAGGGACACAUACAGACUGAAAGUGAGGGGAUGGAAAAAGAUAUUCCAUGCAAAUGGAAAUCAAAAGAAAGCUGGAGUAGCAAUUCUCAUAUCAGACAAAACAGACUUUAAAAUAAAGACUAUUACAAGAGACAAAGAAGGACACUACAUAAUGAUCAAGGGAUCGAUCCAAGAAGAAGAUAUAACAAUUAUAAAUAUUUAUGUGCCCAACAUAGGAGCACCUCAAUACAUAAGGCAAAUGCUAACAGCCAUAAAAGGGGAAAUUGACAGUAACACCAUAAUAGGGGACCUUAACACCGCAUGUUCACCAGUGGACAGAUCAUCCAAAUGAAAAUAAAUAGGGAAACACAAACUUUAAAUGAAACAUUAAACAAGAUAGACUUAAUUGAUAUUUAUAGUUCAUUCCAUCCAAAACCAACAGAAUACACUUUCUUCUCAAGUGCUCAUGGUAUAUUCUCCAGGAUAGACCAUAUCUUGGGACACAAAUCAAGCCUUGGUAAAUUUAAGAAAAUUGAAAUAAUAUCAAGUAUCUUUUCUGACAGCAACACUGUGAAACUAGAUAUCAAUUACAGGAAAAAAGCUGUUAAAAAUGCAAACACAUGGAGGCUAAACAAUACACUACUAAAUAACCAAGAGAUCACUGAAGAAACCAAAGAGGAAAUCAAAAAAUAACUAGAAACAAAUGACAAUGAAAACAUGAUGACCCAAAACCUAUGGGAUGUGGGAAGAGCACUUCUAAGAGGGACGUUUAUAGCAAUACAAUCCUACCUCAAGAAAUAAGAAAAACCUGAAUAAACAAUCUAACUUAUACUUAAAGCAAUUAGAGAAAGAAGAACAAAAAAACCCCAAAGUUAGCAGACAGAAAGAAAUCAUAAAGAUCAGAUCAGAAAUAAAUGAAACAAUAGCAAAGAUCAAUAAAACUAAAAGCUGUUUUUUUGAGAAGAUAAACAAAAUUGAUAAAACAUUAGCCAGACUCAUCAAGAAAAAAAGGGAGAAGACUCAAAUCAAUAGAAUUAGAAAUGAAAAAGGAGAAGUAACAACUGACACUUCAGAAAUACAAAAGAUCAUGAGAGAUUACUACAAGCAACUCUAGGCCAAUAAAAUGGACAACCUGGAAGAAAUGGACAAAUCCUUAGAAAAGCACAACCUGCCAAGGCUGAAUCAGGAAGAAGUAGAAAAUAUGAAUAGACCAAUCACAAGCACUGCAAUUGAAACUGUGAUUAAAAAUCUUUCAACAAACAAAAGCCCAGGACCAGAUGGCUUCACAGGCGAAUUCUAUCAAACAUUUAGAGAAGAGCUAACACCUAUCCUUCUCAAACUCUUCCAAAAUAUAGCAGAGGGAGGAACACUCUCAAACUCAUUCUAUGAGGCCACCAUCACCCUGAAGCCAAAGCCAGACAAAGGUGUUACAAAAAAAGAAAACUACAGGCCAAUAUCACUGAUGAACAUAGAUGCAAAAAUUCUCAACAAAAUACUAGCAAACAGAAUCCGACAGCACAUUAAAAGGAUCAUACACCAUGAUCAAGUGGGAUUUAUCCCCGGGAUGCAAGGAUUCUUCAAUAUAUGCAAAUCAAUCAAUGUGAUACACCAUAUUAACAAAUUGAGGGAUCAUCUCAAUAGAUGCAGAAAAUGCUUUUGACAAAGUUCAACACCCAUUUCUCCAGAAAGUAGGCAGAGAGGGAACUUACCUCAACAUAACAAAGCCCAUGUACAACAAACCCAUAGCCAACAUUGUUCUCAGUGGUGAAAAACUGAAACCAUUUCCUCUAAGAUCAGGAAGAAGAUAAGGUUGCCCACUCUCACCACUAUUAUUCAACAUAGUUUUGGAAGUUUUAGCCACAGCAAUCAGAGACGAAAAAGAAAUAAAAGUAAUCCAAAUUGCAAAAGAAGAAGUAAAACUGUCACAGUUUGUAGAUGAUAUGAUUGAUAGUACACAUAGAGAAUCCUAAAGAUGCUACCAGAAAACUACUAGAGCUAAUCAAUGAAUUUGGUAAAGUACCAGGAUACAAAAUUAAUCCACAGAAAUCUCUUGCAUUCCUAAACACUAAUGAUGAAAAAUCUGAAAGAGAAAUUAAGGAAACACUCCCAUUUACCAUUGCAACAAAAAGGAUAAAAUACCUAGGAAUAAACCUACCUAAGGAGACAAAAGACCUGUAUGCAGAAAACUAUGACACUGAUGAAAGUAAUUAAAGAUGAUGUAAACAGAUGGAAAGAUAUACCAUGUUCUUGGAUUGGAAGAAUCAACAUUGUGGAAAUGACUCUACUACCCAAAGCAAUCUACAGAGUCAAUGCAAUCCCUAUCAAACUACCAAUGGCAUUUUUCACAGAACUAGAACAAAAAAGUUCACAAUUUGUAUGGAAACACAAAAGACCCCGAAUAGCCAAAGCAAUCUUGAGAAAGAAAAACGGAGCUGGAGGAAUCAGGCUCCCUGACUUCAGACUAUACUACAAAGCUACAGUAAUCAAUACAGUAUGCUUCUGUCACAAAAACAGAAAUAUAGGUCAAUGGAGCAGGAUAGAAAGCCCAGAGAUAAACCCACGCACAUAUGGUCGCCUUAUCUUUGAUAAAGGAGGGAAGAAUAUACAAUGGAGAAAAGACAGCCUCUUCAAUAAGUGGUACUGGCAAAACUGUACAGCUACAUGUAAAUGAAUGAAAUUAGAACACUCCCUAACACCAUACACAAAAAUAAACUCAAAAAGGAUUAAAGGCCUAAAUGUAAGGCCAGACAGCAUAAAAAUCGUAGAGGAAAACAUAGGCAGAACACUUUAUGACAUAAAUCACAGCAAGAUCCUUUUUGACCCAUCUCCUAGAGAAAUGGAAAUUAAAAAAAUAAAUAAACAAAUGGAACCUAAUGAAACUUAAAAGCUUUUACACAGCAGAGGAAACCAUAAACAAGACGAAAAGACAACCCUCAGAAUGGGAGAAAAUAUUUGCAAAUGAAGCAACUGACAAAGGAUUAAUCUCCAAAAUAUACAAGCAGCUCAUGCAGCUCAAUAUCAAAAAAACCACCCAAUCCAAAAAUGGGCAGAAGACCUAAAUAGACAUUUCUCCAAAGAAAAUAUACAGAUGGCCAACAAACACGUGAAAGGAUGCUCAUCAUCACUAAUCAUUAGAGAAAUGCAAAUCAAAACUGCAAGGCGGUAUCACCUCACACCAGUCAGAAUGGCCAUCAUCAAAAAGUCUACAAACAAUAAAUGCUGGAGAGGGUGCGGAGAAAAGGGAACCCUCUUGCACUGUUGGUGGGAAUGUAAAUUGAUACAGCCCUAUGGAGAACAGUAUGGAGGUUCCUUAAAAAACUAAAAAUAGAACUACCAUACGACCCAGCAAUCCCACUACUGGGCAUAUACCCUGAGAAAACCGUAAGUCAAAACGAGUCAUGUACCACAAUGUUCAUUGUAGCACUAUUUACAAUAGCCAGGCCACGGAAGCCACCUUAGUGUCCAUCGACAGAUGAACAGAUAAAGAAUAUGUGGCACAUAUAUACAAUGGAAUAUUUCUCAGUCAUAAGAAGAAACGAAAUUGAGUUAUUUGUAGUGAGGUGGAUAGACCUAGAGUCUGUCAUACAGAGUGAAGUAGGUCAGAAAGAGAAAACAAAUACCAUAUGCUAACGCAUAUAUAUGGAAUAAAAAAAAAUGUUUCUGAAGAACCUAGAGGUAGGACAGGAAUAAAGACGCAGACAUAGAACAUGGACUUGAGGACACGGGGAGGGGGAAGGGUAGGCUGGGACGAAGUGAGGGAGUGGCAUGGACAUAUAUACACUACCAAAUGUAAAAUAGAUAGCUAGUGGGAAGCAGCCGCAUAGCACAGGGAGAUCAGCUUGGUGCUUUGUGACCACCUA